AGAAGCUUAGGUUAAAUCUAAACCAGAAGCCUUCAAAGCCUCUAAUAGGGUCACAACCCCUAGCUUCUG